rnacentral:piRNA from 1 species
UCCCNGAUGUCACCUAUUGGUUGUUGGGC